rnacentral:pre_miRNA from 1 species
AGCCUUCUGUAUCCGUGCUGAGAUUUCGUCACACACCGGACCCCAAAGGCUGAUGAGAUUUCCCGGACAAGUGAAGCG